rnacentral:rRNA from 1 species
UCGGAUUGUAGUCUGNAACCCGACUACAUGAAGCUGGAAUCGCUAGUAAUCGCGGAUCAGAAUGCCGCGGUGAAUACGUUCCCGGGUCUUGUACACACCGCCCGUCACACCAUGGGAGUCGGAAAUGCCCGAAGUCUGUGACCUAACCGAGAGGGAGGAGCAGCCGAAGGCAGGUCUGAUGACUGGGGUGAAGUCGUAACAAGGUAAC